rnacentral:rRNA from 1 species
UACGUAGGUGGCAAGCGUUGUCCGGAUUUACUGGGCGUAAAGCGCGCGCAGGCGGCACCACAAGUAAGGUGUGAAAUCUCCCUGCUCAACGGGGAGGGUGCACUUUAGACUGUGGAGCUAGAGGUCGGUAGAGGGGGGUGGAGUUGCUGGUGUAGCGGUGAAAUGCGUAGAGAUCAGCAGGAACACCCGUGGCGAAGGCGGCCCCCUGGGCCGUACCUGACGCUGAGGCGCGAAGGCUAGGGGAGCGAACGGG